rnacentral:misc_RNA from 1 species
GCUCAUUAGAUGUUCUAUGUCUUAUGAUGUUUUGUUGUCUUUCUUUGGUUUCGAUAAAAAGAUUUCAAAUUUCAUUAUAGAACGCCCGAAUGAGGCAUAGAUAUGAGAUAUUUGGACUUUGGAGCCCCUAACUCUUUAUGCUAUUUAUGUUCUCACUUCUAUUUUGGAAGCCAUGGGCAUGUGAUGAUUUCUUACUUUGAAUUUCAGGUAAGAGGAAACCCACAAUUCCCA